AUGCAUGCACACAGAAGAGACUCGCGCGCCGGGAGUGCCAUAUAUGGAGAGGAAGCCCCCGCGAGUCUGCCGCUGAGCGCUCGAGCCCGUGUAUGGAGCGAGACCAGCCCGACUCAGCGACCGUUACCGGCGCGUGGAUUUUAUUUAUCCAACACCCUGAGAUUUAUUUCAGGUUUGUGUGGAGGUCAUGCUGCUCAGCUGGAAGCUGGAACAACAACAUCUACACAACAGCUGAGUGACGUUCACGCUAAGUUUCUAAAACAAGAGGUUCGGGACCUCCAACCCAUCGGACAGCUGCAUUGGGAGGACUGAGCCAACAGACCGGCCGUGUUUAUCCAACUGCUAACUGAGAUCCACAAAGAUGUCGGGAUUCACCGAGCUGCAGGGGGAGGCCGACGAGACUGUGAUCAUCCAUCCAGGAGGCGAGCUGGACCUUGAAUGCACCCUGCAGCCGCUGUAUCUGUGAAAGUGGAUCAUCACGGAGGACCCCCGUCAGGGUGGCAGUCAGCCAAGGAAUCUAUUUAUAACCAACAUCUGCCC